rnacentral:rRNA from 1 species
GCCUGCCCGGUGACCCUGGGUUAAACGGCCGCGGUAUUUUAACCGUGCGAAGGUAGCGCAAUCACUUGUCCUUUAAAUGAAGACCUGUAUGAAUGGCUAGACGAGGGCUUAGCUGUCUCCUCCCCCCGGUCAAUGAAAUUGAUCUCCCCGUGCAGAAGCGGGGAUGCUAACAUAAGACGAGAAGACCCUAUGGAGCUUUAGACACUAGACAGCCUACGUUAAACUUCCCCUCUAAUAGGGAAAAAACAUUGUGGCUCCUGUCUCUCCUGUCUUCGGUUGGGGCGACCGCGGAGGAUAAAAGAGCCUCCAUGUGGACCGAGGUUACUAAUCUCACAGCUAAGAGCUGCAGCUCCAAGCACCAGAAAUUCUGACCAAAAUGAUCCGGCACACUGCCGAUUAACGGAACAAGUUACCCUAGGGAUAACAGCGCAAUCCUCUCCCAGAGUCCCUAUCGACGAGGGGGUUUACGACCUCGAUGUUGGAUCAGGACAUCCUAUUGGUGCAGCCGCUAAUAAGGGUUCGUUUGUUCAACGAUUAAAGUCCU